GCUUACGGCCACACCGCCCUGGUUCACGCCCGAUCUCUUUUGAUCUCGGAAGCUAAGAUAGGGUGGGCCUGGUUAGUACUUGGAUGGGAGACCGCCUGGGAAUACCAGGUGCUGUAAGCU
rnacentral:rRNA from 1 species